rnacentral:rRNA from 1 species
AGUGGCGGACGGGUGAGUAACGCGUAAGAAUCUAACUUCAGGACGGGGACAACAGUGGGAAACGACUGCUAAUACCCGAUGUGCCGCGAGGUGAAACCUAAUUGGCCUGAAGAAGAGCUUGCGUCUGAUUAGCUAGUUGGUGGGGUAAGAGCCUACCAAGGCGACGAUCAGUAGCUGGUCUGAGAGGAUGAGCAGCCACACUGGGACUGAGACACGGCCCAGACUCCUACGGGAGGCAGCAGUGGGGAAUUUUCCGCAAUGGGCGAAAGCCUGAUGGAGCAACGCCGCGUGAGGGAGGAAGGUCUUUGGAUUGUAAACCUCUUUUCUCAAGGAAGAAGUUCUGACGGUACUUGAGGAAUCAGCCUCGGCUAACUCCGUGCCAGCAGCCGCGGUAAUACGGGGGAGGCAAGCGUUAUCCGGAAUUAUUGGGCGUAAAGCGUCCGCAGGUGGUCAGCCAAGUCUGCCGUCAAAUCAGGUUGCUUAACGACCUAAAGGCGGUGGAAACUGGCAGACUAGAGAGCAGUAGGGGUAGCAGGAAUUCCCAGUGUAGCGGUGAAAUGCGUAGAGAUUGGGAAGAACAUCGGUGGCGAAAGCGUGCUACUGGGCUGUAUCUGACACUCUGGGACGAAAGCUAGGGGAGCGAAAGGGAUUAGAUACCCCUGUAGUCCUAGCCGUAAACGAUGGAUACUAGGCGUGGCUU